GAUGAACGCUAGCGGCAGGCCUAAUACAUGCAAGUCGAACGGGAUCCAGAUCAAAGCUUGCUUUGGUUUGGUGAGAGUGGCGCACGGGUGCCUAACGCGUGAGCAACCUACCCUUGUCAGGGGGAUAGCCCGGCGAAAGUCGGAUUAAUACCGCAUGACAUCAUUGAGAGGCAUCUUUCGAUGAUCAAAGAUUUAUCGGACAAGGAUGGGCUCGCGUGACAUUAGCUAGUUGGUAAGGUAACGGCUUACCAAGGCUACGAUGUCUAGGGGCUCUGAGAGGAGAAUCCCCCACACUGGUACUGAGACACGGACCAGACUCCUACGGGAGGCAGCAGUAAGGAAUAUUGGUCAAUGGACGGAAGUCUGAACCAGCCAUGCCGCGUGCAGGAAGACGGCCCUAUGGGUUGUAAACUGCUUUUAUACGGGAACAAACGUCGGUACGUGUACCGGUCUGAGUGUACCGUAAGAAUAAGGAUCGGCUAACUCCGUG
rnacentral:rRNA from 1 species